UGCAGUCGAACGGAAACAUAGUCUAGCUUGCUAGAUGAUGUCGAGUGGCGGACGGGUGAGUAAUGCUUGGGAACUUGCCUUUGCGAGGGGGAUAACAGUUGGAAACGACUGCUAAUACCGCAUAAUGUCUUCGGACCAAACGGGGCUUCGGCUCCGGCGCAAAGAGAGGCCCAAGUGAGAUUAGCUAGUUGGUGAGGUAAAGGCUCACCAAGGCAACGAUCUCUAGCUGUUCUGAGAGGAAGAUCAGCCACACUGGGACUGAGACACGGCCCAGACUCCUACGGGAGGCAGCAGUGGGGAAUAUUGCACAAUGGGGGAAACCCUGAUGCAGCCAUGCCGCGUGUGUGAAGAAGGCCUUCGGGUUGUAAAGCACUUUCAGUUGUGAGGAAAAGUUAGUAGUUAAUACCUGCUAGCCGUGACGUUAACAACAGAAGAAGCACCGGCUAACUCCGUGCCAGCAGCCGCGGUAAUACGGAGGGUGCGAGCGUUAAUCGGAAUUACUGGGCGUAAAGCGCACGCAGGCGGUUUGUUAAGCUAGAUGUGAAAGCCCCGGGCUCAACCUGGGACGGUCAUUUAGAACUGGCAGACUAGAGUCUUGGAGAGGGGAGUGGAAUUCCAGGUGUAGCGGUGAAAUGCGUAGAUAUCUGGAGGAACAUCAGUGGCGAAGGCGACUCCCUGGCCAAAGACUGACGCUCAUGUGCGAAAGUGUGGGUAGCGAACAGGAUUAGAUACCCUGGUAGUCCACACCGUAAACGCUGUCUACUAGCUGUUUGUGACUUUAAGUCGUGAGUAGCGAAGCUAACGCGAUAAGUAGACC
rnacentral:rRNA from 1 species